AGAGUUUGAUCAUGGCUCAGAUUGAACGCUGGCGGCAGGCCUUACACAUGCAAGUCGAACGGUAGCACAGAGAGCUUGCUCUCGGGUGACGAGUGGCGGACGGGUGAGUAAUGUCUGGGGAACUGCCCGAUGGAGGGGGAUAACUACUGGAAACGGUAGCUAAUACCGCAUAACGUCGCAAGACCAAAGAGGGGGACCUUCGGGCCUCUUGCCAUCGGAUGUGCCCAGAUGGGAUUAGCUAGUAGGUGGGGUAACGGCUCACCUAGGCGACGAUCCCUAGCUGGUCUGAGAGGAUGACCAGCCACACUGGAACUGAGACACGGUCCAGACUCCUACGGGAGGCAGCAGUGGGGAAUAUUGCACAAUGGGCGCAAGCCUGAUGCAGCCAUGCCGCGUGUAUGAAGAAGGCCUUCGGGUUGUAAAGUACUUUCAGCGAGGAGGAAGGCAUUAAGGUUAAUAACCUUGGUGAUUGACGUUACUCGCAGAAGAAGCACCGGCUAACUCGUGCCAGCAGCCGCGGUAAUAC
rnacentral:rRNA from 1 species